rnacentral:rRNA from 1 species
UACGUAGGGGGCAAGCGUUGUCCGGAAUCAUUGGGCGUAAAGCGCGUGUAGGCGGCUAGGUAAGUCUGCUCUGAAAGCCCGGGGCUCAACCCCGGGAGGCGGGUGGAUACUGUCUAGCUCGAGUCCGGAAGAGGCGAGUGGAAUUCCCGGUGUAGCGGUGAAAUGCGCAGAUAUCGGGAGGAACACCAAUGGCGAAGGCAGCUCGCUGGGACGUUACUGACGCUGAGACGCGAAAGCGUGGGGAGCAAACAGG